CCUCUCCCCCAAGUCCUCCAUCUCCCCCACGCAGGUCAUCUUCCUCACGCCCACACUCUCCAUCUCCCCUACAUGCAAAGACAACCCCAUCAUUCCCACCGCACUCUUCUAAGCUUCCACCAUCGCCCCCACCUACAAACUCUUUCCAGCAGAAACACGCUGCCCAGGCCAGUUCAGAUUCCACACUAAGGCGCCAUUCCCCACCAUAUCUCCGUUCGCAUACUCCUUCAAGCCUACACCUUCCUUCCUUACCAUCGUCGUCUACAUCAUUGACUUUAUCAGCAUCAGAUUUAUCCUUGUCGGAGACUGAUUCAGAAAUCUCACUGAGGAUAACAUAUAAAACGACUUGGCGAGAGCGUCUACGCAAUGCCAGAUAUCGGCUCUGGCAUUGCUUCCAUAUGGUUUUCAUGUGCUGUUAUUGGAGGAAAAAGUCCUUGCCAAAGAAAUUAAAAUGCAGGAAACGCGGAUGCAAAAACCGUAAAGUUGUUAGAUUUGCUUCAAAGCUGGAGACUGUUUGGGAAAUUCCUGCAGCAAGAAGAUAACAAGGAAAGGGAGAAGUGAGCAUGAACCUGAGAGAGAAACCAAACAAAGGAGAAGAGAGUUGAUGCUUGUGGAUAAUCUGGAGCUGGUAAUCCUGAGAUAAAGGAAUUGGAGAGUCGGAAGACCGACAGAAGCAGAGGAAGAAAGGAGUAGAACAUGCAAGGGUAAUACAGAAACAACAUGCAAUAUGAAUAAAGUGAUAACAGUGUUGCACAGAUGAUGACAUCUUACAGGAAUAUCAGUGAGCUUCUUGGAGUAUGACAGACAUGAGACAGAUGCUGUUCAAGAGAACUUAUGGGAUGGCCUGAUACAUGGCAAAUAAACUUUCCAUUCUUCUGAACUUUACAAAAAUGGAUUUUCACUGACAGAAGUCCUCACCAGUUUCCAAGAGAAACAAGAAACUAUUUGGAAAUUAUUACCACGUUGAAUAAUAAGGUCUUUGAAGGCGCAGAGGAGGCAGUGGUUAUGUCAACAAGGAAUACAAACAUGAAGUCACUGUUUUGUUCAGACAGAAACUAGUGAAACUGGAAUAUCAACAUUCAUACAUGCACACACACACACACACACAUACACACACACACAGACUCUCACACACACACACACACACA
rnacentral:lncRNA from 1 species